AACGCACGAGACCUGCGGACCUGCGGAGGGAUCAUUAAUGAGAAGCUGCCCCUCGUGGGUAGACCUCCCACCCUCUGUGAACUUACCUUUGUUGCUUCGGCAGGCCCGUCCUCUGGACCGCCGGCUUCGGCUGGCCCGUGCCUGCCAGAGGAUUCCAAACCCUGUCUGUCAGUGUUGUCUGAGUCUAUAUGAAAUCGUUAAAACUUUUAGCAACGGAUCUCUAGAUCGGAAGAGCACACG
rnacentral:misc_RNA from 1 species